rnacentral:rRNA from 1 species
AUAUUAUUUUAGAUUUUUAUCAAAAUUUUACACAGAAACUAAGCAAGGCCAGGCCCGGUUAGUACUUGGAUGGGAGACCGCUCUGAAUAUCAGGCA